CAGUCGCCACGGUAAUACGGAGGGAGCUAGCGUUGUUCGGAAUUACUGGGCGUAAAGCGCGCGUAGGCGGUUACUCAAGUCAGAGGUGAAAGCCCGGGGCUCAACCCCGGAACUGCCUUUGAAACUAGGUGACUAGAAUCUUGGAGAGGUCAGUGGAAUUCCGAGUGUAGAGGUGAAAUUCGUAGAUAUUCGGAAGAACACCAGUGGCGAAGGCGACUGACUGGACAAGUAUUGACGCUGAGGUGCGAAAGCGUGGGGAGCAAACAGGAUUAGAUACCCCCGUAGUCCCUGUCUCUUAUAA
rnacentral:rRNA from 1 species